rnacentral:misc_RNA from 1 species
AUUUUACAGUGCAUCGCCGGAAAAUGUUUUCCGGCAAACCACAUUGUCGGAAUCAGGUGCAAUGGAAGAUUUUAAUCUCAAUGCAAAACAGCAAAAGUGCUCUCGCCUUAACGGUAGUCAGCAAUUGAAGCGAUUGUGCAGGACAUUAAUGCCUGACAUCUCUAGCAGUACCGCCAAUGUUGCCAUAACCAACUACAAAUGCUACAAAAAGAAACGGAAUCAGAAUAUUGGAGUAACGAAUGGUGUUGAUGAGAAAAACAGAAA